rnacentral:rRNA from 1 species
GAUGAACGCUGGCGGCGUGCCUAAUACAUGCAAGUCGAGCGAACGGACGAGAAGCUUGCUUCUCUGAUGUUAGCGGCGGACGGGUGAGCAACACGUGGAUAACCUACCUAUAAGACUGGGAUAACUUCGGGAAACCGGAGCUAAUACCGGAUAAUAUUUUGAACCGCAUGGUUCAAAAGUGAAAGACGGUCUUGCUGUCACUUAUAGAUGGAUCCGCGCUGCAUUAGCUAGUUGGUAAGGUAACGGCUUACCAAGGCAACGAUGCAUAGCCGACCUGAGAGGGUGAUCGGCCGCACUGGAAGUGGGACGCGGUCCAGACUCCUACGGGAGGCAGCAGUAGGGAAUCUUCCGCAGUGGGCGGAAGCCUGGCGGAGCAACGCCGCGUGAGUGAUGAAGGUCUUCGGAUCGUAAAACUCUGUUAUUAGGGAAGAACAUAUGUGUAAGUAACUGUGCACAUCUUGACGGUACCUAAUCAGAAAGCCACGGCUAACUACGUG